UGAAUAUUGCCAGGAUCAAAUCAAGAAAUUCCCAAGCUUGGACUAAUUCCUCUGAAAUCCGAGGUUAUAGAAGAUUACACUGGAGAUAUUUGGUCCGAACUACCUUUUGUAAGCAGUGAUGACCCAGCUAUCACCUGUCUUUCUAAGAAGAGAGAGUUUGAUGAGCUCAUACAUUGGCAUUCCUCUUGACCUCUAAGUGAUGAUUUUGAAAGGACAAAAAGCAGCGAUAGUGCUAAAUCCAAAGAUGCCAAAGAAAGAAGAGAUACACAGAAACUGUAUCAUUUUUAUCAUGUGUUUGGAAGGUCUUUGGUAGGAAGUAACAGAUCAGUAAGGAUUACAAAAGUGGGCUCGCUGCCAUCUCCAGCAAAUUCUUCCGGGCAGAAGAAAAGACAACAUCAGAAGAAAAAUGCAGAAAAACUUAUUGAAGAAAAUCAAAAGAGACAACUAGCUAAACUAGAGAAAAAGGAGGAAGAGAGAUGGAAUAAUUUGUCUCUCUCUAUUGAAAAAGAAAUUAAAGAGAAUCUUCACUCUGGAAUCAAAAGACUAGAAGAUUUUCUCCAGAUAUGUGCUGUUAAAUCUGUAAAAUUUAUUGCAGAAAUGGUUGGAUUGGAUGCCUGUUUCAAAUUAUGGAAAGAAUGCUGUCUAAAACCAGAAGCAGAAUCCAAAGAUAUAAAUGUGGUAAUUCAGAUGA